GUUGGGAGUUGCUGGUUCUGGUUGAGUUUGGCUGGGUGGGCAUGGGCACACUGGCCUAGCUCUCGUGGCUUCUAGGAAUUAUGACCUCUGCACAAGCUGUCCCCUUGGUGUGGGGACUUUGUUCUGUCUUCUUUCUCUCCUGCAGGCUGACAGAGUGAUGCAGAGACAGCUCAGAGGACCUCUCCCUGGGGAAACUCUUCCCCUUCAUGGAAGCUUCUCAGCACGACAUACUGAGAUUAUAGCACAGAGCUUAUGUCUUGUCUUCUGACAUGGGGAGGGAUGGUGACCUCUUCAUCUCCAACCAGCUCAGUGACCUUGAUCCUCCCCUUUUGAGCACCCCGCUGUCCUAGUCUGGGAUGCCUGUGGAACACCAUUACAACACUGAAACCACCCGAGUGCUGGAACCAGAUACUAUUUCCCUCCAUUUAACUGAAAACUGAGGUGCAGAGUGUGAAUCUGUCCAGAUCACACAGCUGCUAAGAAGCAGAGCCAGGAUUUGGAAGCAGAUAGUCCUGUGGAUUAGGCAUGACUGUGUGAGGCACUUCUGCAGGGAAGAAACCAAGUGACUAUAAGCUGCUUGCGCGAGGAGGACAGCUCCAGCGCUGCCCUGUCUUGUCCCUGGUGUGUCCACGAAUUGCUCUACCAAGGCCCUGAGGAAUGCAGG